CACAAGGGAGGUGAAUGAAAUUUUUCUCGUUCUGCAUAUAUAACCGAUCAUCACAGCCACAGGUGAUGUUUUAGUAUGACCUCAGUGUGCCAUCACGCCUUCAUGUGUUUAAGUCAAGGCAACAGGUGAAGAGAAAUUCUGCCAAAAAUAAAGACAUACAAAUGAUUGGCCAUAAUGAAGAAGUGGAGGAUGGAGUUCAUUUACGCAUAGAAUGGUGUAAUUCUAACAUCUAUCAGCAGGGGCUAUCUGGACAAUGUUAGCCAGCCAAAACUUGCAAGAUAUUUUAGGUUUUGAAAGCCAAAGGACUCCAAUGGGGUUGGGAGCCCAUUGUUAUUAUCUUCUUUUGUGUUCCAUAGAAGAAAGUACAGGUUUAGAAAUAAAAAAUUAGAAUUUUAAUUAGAAAAUGAUGUACUUGUAAACAUGAACAAUGAAAGCAAGAGAGAAAAAGCCCCUUGGCCUAAUUAACCCUGAUUUGAAAAGUAUACAUAUAAAUGACUCCGUUAAAUAAGAAAGGAGAAAGAGGGAAAUACAAUGCAUCAUUUUGGAUUGCACUCAGAGAAGGUUAAAGAAUGAUUAGAGGGAUAGAAGUCCCGUAGCAGUUGUCCGAGGAGCGCAGAAAUCCCUGGUGUGAAAUGUGCACUAGCUGAUCAAUAUUCCUGUCAGGCUGCAUUAAUCUCCAUAUAGAAUGUCACCUUAAUGCCAGAGAUACACAGUGGUUUCUGCUGCUCGGACGCCUGUUAAAAGUAUGGAUCAGAGCCAGUGUUUAGCUGAUGCUUCGCCUGCACUGCCAAUCUCAGGGCAGUUUUGAGCCAGCAUCUCACUCUUCUUGCUACAGUAUGUUUACGAAUGGAAAUUCAUAACUAGAACUUUCAAGUUUGAAGUUUUUCUGUUUGUAUCUUCCCAUAGAAAAGUAAACAAUU